rnacentral:rRNA from 1 species
ACACGACUACAUUAGAUACCCCGGUAGUCCCAGCCCUAAACGAUACUCGCUAGGUGUCGGCCACGGUGCGACCGUUGUCGGUGCCGUAGGGAAGCCGUGAAGCGAGCCACCUGGGAAGUACGGCCGCAAGGCUGAAACUUAAAGGAAUUGGCGGGGGAGCACCACAACGGGUGGAGCUUGCGGUUUAAUUGGAUUCAACGCCGGAAAUCUUACCGGGACCGACAGCAACAUGAAGGCCAGGCUGAAGACUUUGCCGGAUUAGCUG